GUAAUCUUCAAACCAAACUCUCUGGUCGGCACCCACAGCUCUAAUGUGAAACCACAAUGUACUUCCUGUUGGGGGCCUAGUUAGCCAGGAUCCCCAAGAGACUGCCUGAUAAGAAAUUAAUUUUGAGAGUCACUCCACAGGACUGCCUAAUUAGCAGUGGUGGAUGAAGUACACAAAUCAAGUACUUGAGUAAAAGUAUGAAUACCCUAAUAAAAUAUUACUCCAGUAAAAGUAUUAAGUACUUCUUUUCAGUUUUACUUCAGUAAAAGUACAAAAGUACUUGACUUUUAAUGUACUCGAGUACAUUAGACCGGGCCAGUAGAAAAAAUACUUGGCGUUGAUCCCUGAGGGAUAUCCAAGUUAUGAAAAUAUCAAAGAAAAAAACAGAAAUGGCAUGGUGACAUGUCAUGUCAGCUGCCCGUAUAUUUGUCCUAUAAUGACAAGUUGUACUUUGGUUUGUUACAGUGGAAGAUCUGCUCCACAGGACUGGCAAAGCGCUGCAGAGCUGGCUUUCAUCAGACACAUGUGGUGACCGGCAGUUUAAAGAAGGAGAAGAGAGAGAAGAUAAAUCAAUACUCAUCCAGGAUAAACAGCACACUGAAGAGGGAUUACAUCAACCCUCGAGAAGCAGCCAAAACACAUCCAUUCCUCAUGAAACACAGUCUACGAAAUGUGUCGGAGAAACAUCGCCUGCUCUUCUGAGCAUUAGUGCCGUACCGUCUGACUGCACUAAACUGGUAGAACUGCAUAAAACUGAACAAACUGAUGAAACUCUCCAAAAUAUCAGCAGACACAAGCUCUCAUACCGAAAAGCCUUGAGCAACAGAAUUACAUUAAUGGAUCUUGAGAGAGGAAAUGUCAUUGCUGUCUAUGGAGGCCUCACUGAGCCAUCGGAUUUCAUCAAAAAUAUAAAAAAUUUGUGUUCUGAAAAUUAACGAAGGUCUUACGGGUGUAAAACGGCAUGAGGGUUUGCGUUGUAAUGCUGUUGUUUACAAUCAAAAGCCCAUGAAGUCCUGCAGAUAUCUCACAACACAAUGGACGGCACCAAUCCAGAAAGAGCCCAUCUGACGUGCCUCGUCACCUAUAGGAUGACCUGCCUCAGUCCAAGAAACAACC